CCCAAGCAUCACUUACAGGCAUAAAAAGGAUAUUUUGGCCCCAAAUCUAUAAGACAGUCAGUAGCUGGGGUGGAACAAGACAGUAUUUGGGCUGUGACACUGAUAGUGUAACACAGGCUGGUGCUUUUAUAAAAUGAAGAUUGUUAAAUCAGGAGCAUCCUUUAGCCACCAUCUCCAAGCUCCUCUUUCAGCAUCGGUUGGGAGCAGUGAAAUGAUCGUCCCCAUUUCCCAAAGCAAGAGCUCCACCAUUUGUUGGCCAGCAGCAGUGCAUCCUUCCCCGUGCUUCCAAGGGCGACACAAGGAC